AGUUGAUAUGUGAUAUCAAUUUAUUUUCAUGAAGUACACAGAUCAUUCAUUAGAGAUGUUCAUAUGGCAUGUUGUGUUGAAGAAAAUGCUGAAAGUAAUACUUACUAGUACCGGGAUGUUAAAAAAAAAUAUAUACGGUAGUGAUCAAAGCAGGCUCUCGAGCCUGGAUAAUGGUGCAUGGAAUAGGACCUCGGUUCUAUUUUGUUGGUUUUCGGAGUGCAAGGUAAUGAUUAAGAGCUACACAGACAUUCGGACUGUGCCGUUAGAGGUGAAAUUCUUGGAUCGGCGCAAGACGAAUGACUGCCAAAUAAUUUGCCAAGAAUUUUUUCUUUAAUCAA
rnacentral:ncRNA from 1 species